rnacentral:tRNA from 1 species
UGCGGGUUCGUCUAAAGGUAGGACACAUCCCUCUGGAGGAUGGUAUUAGGGUUCGAGUCCCUGACCCGCAGCCG